ACUUCGACAGCUCAGCUGGUAGAGCAUCUUCCCAGUAUGAAGAGGGUCGCUGAUUCGUUCCCGGCUCGCGGCG
rnacentral:tRNA from 1 species